CCUAUACUCCCUCCGUCCCAAAAUUCUUGUCUUAGGCUUGUCUAGAAAUGGAUGUUUCUAAAUACUAAAGCGUGACUAGAUACAUUCAUAUCUAAACAAAUGUAAGACAAGAAUUUUGGUACGGAGGGAUUAUUUA
rfam:Hordeum vulgare subsp. vulgare, WGS project CAJW01000000 data, contig: morex_contig_654652